rnacentral:rRNA from 1 species
UGGGGAAUAUUGGACAAUGGGCGAAAGCCUGAUCCAGCAAUGCCGCGUGUGCGACGAAGGCCUUCGGGUCGUAAAGCACUUUCAAUGGGGAAGAAAGCCAUGGGAUUAAUACCCCUAUGGUCUGACGUGAUCCAUACAAGAAGCACCGGCUAACUCUGUGCCAGCAGCCGCGGUAAUACAGAGGGUGCAAGCGUUAAUCGGAGUUACUGGGCGUAAAGCGCACGUAGGCGGAUGUGCAAGUCAGAUGUGAAAUCCCUGGGCUUAACCUAGGAACUGCAUUUGAUACUGCUCAUCUAGAGUAUGGUAGAGGGAAGUGGAAUUUCCGGUGUAGCGGUGAAAUGCAUAGAUAUCGGAAGGAACAUCAGUGGCGAAGGCGACUUCCUGGACCAAUACUGACGCUGAGGUGCGAAAGCAUGGGGAGCAAACAGG